rnacentral:rRNA from 1 species
UACGGAGGGGGCCAGCGUUGUUCGGAAUUAUUGGGCGUAAAGGGCGCGUAGGCGGUCGGGUAAGUCUGACGUGAAAUCCCUUGGCUUAACCAAGGAAUUGCGUCUUAAACUGCCUGGCUUGAGUCCGGGAGAGGGUAGUGGAAUUCCCAGUGUAGCGGUGAAAUGCGUAGAUAUUGGGAGGAACACCGGUGGCGAAGGCGGCUACCUGGACCGGUACUGACGCUGAGGCGCGAAAGCUAGGGUAGCAAACAGG